GGUAAUAAUUUUCAGCUAUGGUCACUAGUCUAGUCUGUCUAGCUCCCUAUCAGCCCUCAGUGUGUGCGUGUGUGUAGUUUUCUCUUUCCUUAUCCAGCUUUUACUUAGUUCCGUGUAAGUUCCAGUCAACGUUCUGCUUUGUUCUGUGCAUCCAUGUGUGCUUCCACCUGUCUUGUUCCCACGUGACUUGCUGUGAUUUUCGGACUUUGGUUUUCCUUUCAAAACAAACGAGUUAUCCAGAACAUUUGGCAGAUGGCGACUAAGAAUGUGUGAAGAAUGGCAACGAUGCACCACUAUAAAAGGAAGACGGAUGAUUGGCAGUCACAUAUGCAUGAACGAGGCAGUAAGAAGAAAGAAGAACACCUGUCCCUGGAAUUAGAGAGAAUGCCAGUGAGCACAGGCGUGAUUGUGUGUCUGUAAUUGUGUAAGCAGUGAACUGAGUCCUCCAUCC